GCCCAAUGAUGAGACCAAGGCGAAUGUGAGCUCAGUGGGUAAGAGUCAGAGCUCUCCUGUGCUCCUGUUGGCUGGUAAUCUUGGCUGGGCAGUGGAGACUUGCUGCUUUGCUGUAAGGGCUGGCCUACAUUAAGCGAGUUCUUCCCCUCAAGCUCUCCUUCAGAGAAAUGCAGGAGAGAGAUGGGAAGGGUAGUCAUGGUGUGUGCGUGCUUGUGCAUUUGUGUGUGUGUGUGUGGGGCACAGGUUGAAACUCUGUUCUCUAUAAUGUCCAAUGAGCUAUGAGCUGGUUCUUUGGUAAUCUGAGGGCA